AUUCAGCUAACGAGUACCAAAUAGGAUGAAACGUGCGUCCUAAAU
rnacentral:hammerhead_ribozyme from 1 species